rnacentral:rRNA from 1 species
UACGUAGGGUCCGAGCGUUGUCCGGAAUUAUUGGGCGUAAAGAGCUCGUAGGCGGUUUGUCGCGUCUGCUGUGAAAUCCCGAGGCUCAACCUCGGGCCUGCAGUGGGUACGGGCAGACUGGAGUGCGGUAGGGGAGAAUGGAAUUCCUGGUGUAGCGGUGGAAUGCGCAGAUAUCAGGAGGACCACCGAUGGCGAAGGCAGUUCUCUGGGCCGUAACUGACGCUGAGGAGCGAAAGCGUGGGGAGCGAACAGG